GGCGAAUCCGAUAGAAGAGCAGGAGAAGAAGAGGGUAGUGAUGAAAACGAGAUAUUUUUUUAAAGAGAUGCUUGAUCUAGAGAGUGAAUUUGAUGCCUUUGGAGCUGUUAAUGAACAAGAACGGCCUUCACAAUGCAGAUGACGCAUACUACUACCUUACAUGUGCUUCUGGAAGCUGGUGGACUGGAGUAGGAAGUUAACCGGAAGCCGUCAUGGUCGAAACCUCUGCUAAACUGAACAGUUGUUUGUUCACUGCAAGAACAUCUCAGUACAUUCACGCUUGAAGCUUUACGCUGACCCAUCUUUGUGAAGACGCAGGAAUAUUAACAACAUCACAACUCAGCAAAGAUGAGAGACCACGUAAAACAAAGGUAUUCAUGACAUUUUCUUAUUCUCAAAUUUACUUGACCUCACUCUGCCGCUCUGUCCAAACCACAUUUUGGGUAUAUUAUGUGUUGCAUAUGAUCAAGUAUUUUUUAUCUAUUGAAGAAAGUAUCACGCCGCGAGUAAUGGAGAGAGUCUUGGGGAUUCGCAAACGUCACAUGCUAAGUUAGCACUCACGCUGUAUAUUUAGUUAAUUUUGUCUCAGUCAUUACAAUUUCUGCAGUUUAGAUAAUCAAUACUUAGAUUUGGUAACAUAAUUUAUUUAUUGGAUGGUAAGGUUGCAUCAGCUUCUUUUAAUGGAGCAUGCAGACAACUGAAUGGACCUCCUUAGAAACUCAAGCUCUGGGGCAGGCUACAUGGAGAAGUUCCUCAAGAGUUCUUUGCCGUACUGUGAAAGAGUUUAUGAGACUAUGGAUUCGGCAAAGGAAACUGAGGUUACAACAUCCAGCCUAGGAAAUUGGGCAUCAGCACCUUCCCUAGACCAUGGUUAAUCCGAGCAAGUGCGUUUAAGGAAUAAAAUAUCUCAAAGUUUAUGACAACAAAUAUGUUAUGUUUCAUCAUAAAA